AUGCACCAGCUCCCCACCCCAUGGCUCCUCCCAGUCCCAGCACAAACAGCAGUAACAACAGCAGCAACAACAGCAGUGGGGAACAGUUGAGUAAAACCAAUCUGUACAUUCGAGGCCUUCCACCCGGCACGACUGACCAGGACCUUAUCAAGCUUUGCCAGCCGUAUGGGAAAAUUGUAUCCACAAAGGCAAUUCUUGACAAAAACACAAAUCAGUGCAAAGGUUAUGGUUUUGUAGAUUUUGACAGUCCAGCAGCAGCACAGAAAGCAGUAGCAUCUCUUAAGGCAAAUGGUGUGCAGGCCCAGAUGGCAAAGCAACAAGAGCAAGACCCUACAAAUCUAUACAUCUCAAAUUUACCGAUUUCUAUGGAUGAGCAGGAACUGGAGAACAUGCUGAAACCCUUUGGACAUGUCAUUUCCACCAGAAUAUUAAGAGAUGCUAAUGGAGUCAGCAGAGGAGUCGGCUUUGCCAGAAUGGAGUCUACAGAAAAAUGUGAAGUAGUAAUUCAACAUUUCAAUGGAAAAUAUCUGAAAACCCCACCUGGUGUACCAGCCCCCACUGAGCCUUUGCUGUGUAAAUUUGCUGAUGGAGGGCAAAAGAAGCGACAGAAUCAAAGCAAAUACACACAGAAUGGAAGGCCGUGGCCAAGAGAAGGAGAGGCCAGCAUGGCUUUGACUUAUGAUCCAACAGCUGCUAUACAGAACGGAUUUUAUUCCUCACCGUACAGUAUUGCAACAAAUCGCAUGAUUCCACAGACAUCUAUCACACCAUUCAUUGCUGCUUCCCCUGUCUCUACAUACCAGGUCCAGAGUACUUCAUGGAUGCCUCAUCCGCCAUAUGUUAUGCAACCAACAGGUGCUGUGAUAACGCCGACAAUGGACCACACUAUGUCAAUGCAGCCAGCAAGCAUGAUGGGCCCCCUGACCCAACAGAUGAACCACCUUUCCUUGGGCACAACAGGAACGUAUAUGACUGCUGCUGCUCCUAUGCAAGGGACCUACAUUCCCCAGUACACUCCUGUGCCUCCAACAGCUGUCCCUAUUGAAGGUGUUGUUGCUGAUACCUCUCCGCAGACAGUAGCAUCUUCAUCACAGGAAGCCAGUGGUCAACAGCAACAGAUGACAGUGGAAACAUCCAGUGAACACGCGCCUGCAUAUUCUUACCAACAGUCUAAACAAUAAACAAGACUGAAGAAUGUCUGUCUGAAAUCUUUGCCUUGAAUGGAGAAACUUCAUUGAACAAGAAGUUGGCUUCCAGUUUGCACAGGCGUCAAACGAAUGCUUUUUUUUUUAUUUUCUACCCUUCCCAAUGAAAACAAAACAGUGUUUUUAUGUGCUGUGCAAAUGGUUCCGUCAUGUAGUCUGACAGUUUUAUUUUUGCUAUAAUUUUUUUAAAUAAAGAGAAAACCCAAAGGAAAAACACUGGGUUAACAUUUCAUCUGGAUGAACAUUUGAAUUCAGAAUUUACCUGGAGGUAUAGCUAGAUUCUUUUUUUUUCUUUUUUUUCUUGGUUUUUUUUUUUUAGAAAAACAGCAAAACCGAUGAUGUCAAGAGGGAGCAAGCUGAGAUGAAAACUAAUGGUCUUCCUCAAAAAAUUAAGCUACUCUUUUUCUCAUAUUUUUCCUUCUUGUUUUAAAUCUAGCGUGUUUUUGUUUUGUUUUGAGGUUUUUUUAGAAAUGUUUAGGUAAGGUUUAUCUUGAAUCUUAAUUGCCUUAAUUUUUAAGGACGUCAAAGGCUCUCAAGGCAAGCUGUCAACGUCUUGUUAGAAAACCCGAGAAGGAAUUGAAACCUGCUUACACCAGUGUCAGCUGGUGUGGAAGUUUAAUAGACUGAAUUUUUGGGGUGAACAAAAAAAAACCUGUACAGUUUAAAAGAAAAUGAUUUUCUUCUUUUGAAGAAAACUUGAUGAUUAAAGAACUGUGGCAACUGAGAGGAUUGGAAAAAGUGCUGGGACUUUUAUGAACUUUGUCUUAAGUGUUGACAGAAAAAAAAUUCUAGAAGGCUAAAGCAUUUUACAGUAAAGUUAUUGAACUGAGAAAAAAACUAACUGCAUUAUAAAAAAUGCAGGGUUUUUUUCUUGCAGAAUGCAGAUUUUUUUUAUUUACAAAGCGUGAUCGCUAGCAAAAGCAUUAGUGCUUUUUAUCUGCAGUCUUUUUUAUGAGCUUUAAGAAGUUUUUAGUCUGCUUUGCUUGUCACAUUGCAAAAACCUAGCUUAAGAGCAUUAAAAAAAAACUUAAGUAGAUAGGAGCUUAUGGUCAAAAAAGUGCAAAAAAAGCAAUAGAUAGAAGAAAUUGUUGACAAUUUCUGUAGUCUUUCCUAGUUGUGAUCAAAUGCAGCCUAUGGAUGGCCUAUUUUAUACCAAAGAUGAAGUGACACCCUAACGCAGUCCAGAAGAUAGAGUUUUUUUUUUCUUUUUUUAUCUUUAUUUGACCUACAUGGCCGGACCAGUUCUUACUUUUUGUUUGUUUAAACUAUCUUCCACUGGUGUUUUACAUACUGCCUAUGUUCAUAAUGAAAAUUUCAGAGUAAUUGGUACUAGAAACACAUACCUGCUGUGUUUUGGAGAAAUUCAGUGCGAGGACAUCUGGGUUACCAACUGGUCUUGAGUUGGGCUUUAAUUUCUAUGACCUUUUUGUUACAUUGCCUGUUCUUUUGUAUUUCUACCAAAACUACAGUCUUCCUUCUGAAUUCCAACAUCCCACAGAUUCAUUUCCUCACCUCAGUCUUUGUCAUCUUCCAGCAUGCAUAGCCACCUUGAUUCUACAUCUGUUUUUCAGUAAUGCAUUUGAAUCACCGAUUAGAUGCCACAAAAAGCAAAUUUUGGUUCUCUUUUAAAUUCUCUCAAAGGGAAAAUUAAAAAUUGCUUAGAUUAAUGCUGUUAUGCAGGCAGGAAGUAGAAAUUCAUUUUCCCUUCUAUGAGUUCUGCUUUCUUAAUUUGUUGGCUGACAAUCACUAAUUAGUAUGAUUAGGCAAAAGACAGUACCUAAAUUGGAUCCAUUGAAAUCUACUUUAGGAAUGACAACUAUUUUACAAUGAAAAAUGCUGAUUAAAAUACUUGCUUUUUCCAAACAAACAAAAAAUAGAGAAGCAAGCCAGAGUAAAACAAGUGAUUUUUCUGUAAGAAGAUUACAGAAAAGCAGCAUUUAAAUAAAGACACACACACACACACACACACACGAAGCCAAACAAUUGAACUUUCCUCCAUCAAAGAGAAAGGGGAAGCUUCACUACAGUUCUUGUGGUGCAUUAGAAACAGGGUAUCCAUUUAAAAAAAUAAAAUAUCAAUCAUUUUUAUAUUGGAUUAACUUGAUUCAGCCACCCUGAUUCUAAGUGAGAUCUAUGGUUCCCUUAACUGAUCUUUUUUUUUAAAAAAAAAAAGCAUAUUUUUUUAAAAUUACUAAAGUAGUACCUUAUUUUUUAACAUAGUGGGGGGUGUGGGGUGGGGUUACCCAAGCAAAAGGCUGCUAUAUAUGCAACACGUCAAAGAGAAAAAUGGGAACUCAUCUGGUUAGCCACCAUAGAUACAGGGCUUGGUUUUCAGGAGAGUCAAACUACUUAAAACUCUCUUUGCCUUCAAAUGGAGUUUUUAGUAUUCUGAAUACCAGGCCCCAGAAAAGUAAUGUUUUUUCCCUCUAUUUUGUAAAAAAAAAAAAAAAGAAAGAAAAAAAAAAAGGCCUCUAGCUUUUUAUUUUCUUUUCCACAUGCUUUCACAUUGCUGUUUACUUUUUGUGAGUGGCACACGAGUUUUGUCCUUGGAGAAGGGUGUCCCCAUUCAGAAGCGGUAGGGGGGAAAAACAAGCUAGCCUUAUUUUCUUCCUUUUUACACUGUUUCUCUUUUUCUCUGAAUUCUUUGUACAAAUAGAGAUAACCCCAGGCACAAUUCAAUUGAAUAUGAAAUAAACAUGUGUUGUUUUGUUUCUGUAUACGUUCUGUUACACAAAAAAAGUCUCAUUUACUAUCAACAAUGAGGCUACAAGGUAGCUACCAUGUGGCUGAUGAGUAUGCUGAGGUACCUUCCGGUUUCUAUUCAGAACUCUGCUGCUUUAUUUAUACAUUCAGAAACAUUUUUGGUAUUAUUUUCAACAAAUAAAGUUAGACAAUUUCAGUGUUUUUUAUUAAGCCAGACAGGCAAAUAGUUAUCAGGAUGCCUGUCCAUUUAAACUGUUUUAAGUACAUUCUGUGUUAGAACUGUUUCAUUUUUUACCAUGCUACAAUGUUGACUAUUGUUUGAAAACCAAAAAAAAGAACAAACAAAGAACCAGAAGGAAGAAGACAAUGGAUCCUCUGAAUCCAAUAAACUAUCUUUCUUUCUUAUCCCCAAACUGAUGAAUUGGUACUUAAAGGCUCACGAGUUACAGCUUAUGAGUUAUAAACAGUAAUAUAUCACCAGGUAAGAUAUAUGUAAAAUAUAAAAAAAUUUUCAGAAAGGGGAAACCUUUAUUUGCAAGAAUCAAAGAUGAGAUAAAGGAAUAUGGAUGAAGUCUGUUCAGUGCAGCAGACCUGCCCCUUGGGUAUCAUCAUAACACAGAGAUGCCCAUUUGCUUCUGAAAACUGAAUCUGGUUUGCUUUAUAUUCUACCUAACAAGGUUUUUAGGGGCAUUUGUUUUGAGAACCAGUCUAGUUGGUUCAAUAUCUAGGUCCUGCCAACUUAGCCUUAAAUAUCAGGAGGGUUUCUGGAAGGUUGCAGAAACUGCUCCAGAAGUCAAAGGCAAUGGUGCCUGUUGCAACUCUCUGGAAAUCAAAUCAAAUCCGUAAGUUAAACUGCAGAUAUACUUUCCAUCACACCUGAACUCUUGUAAAUAGUCUGAUUUAGAUAUUUGGUUGGGUUUUUUUGUUUGGGUUUUUUUUCCUUUGGAAAAUAAGUAAUAAGAGGGGUGUCAGAAAAAUAUGCAUCAUGGCUGGAGUAUUCUGAAUACCCAGGAUAUUGGAUAACGGCUAUAAUGGAACUGAAUACAGUAUAAUAUGUAGCAUUAGCAGGUGCUAGUGACAAAGGCAGAGUCUAAUGCAGGGCGCUAGAUCCUGGCUGUUCCAAAUGAAAUAAAAUGCUGAGGUAGUUCUCUGUCUUGCUCUACUGCUGGUUUUAUUAACACUUCAAUUAUGACAGCCAGCCAUAGAAUUUGGGAUGCCCUCACGGUCCCUACCAUUGAAACAGACUCUUAAAAUGUCCCUAGCUGCUGCAUACUUGUAUGGUUCUGUUUCCCAAGGGAUUUAGACUGCCUUUCUAUGAUAAGCUGAGAAAACCGGUGUCAUGCAGAACGAGGCCUAUUUUAGAGCAGUUGCAUCAUGAUGUAUUAUUUUCUACUGUGGAUGCAUGCACAACUGUGGAAGAUGAGAGUUGGUGAUCAGGGAAGUGAGGGAUUCUGCAAUGGGCAUAAGCAUUAAAAUAGGUUUUUACAUGAGUAAAAAUCAAAUGAAGGGUCUUAUUUAUGUAUGUAUGUGUACCAAAAUUCAGCAAAUUUGAGGAAGCCUGCAUUGUAAUAAAGUUUAUUUUUAAUAUGUCAUAGUAUUUGGAUCUAUAUUAUGUUGUCUAUGGUACUGAAGGAUGAGAUUGAUACUCAAUGUUUAACAAGUUGCCUUGGUUCAUAAUUUUAAGCUUAAUAGCACUUAUCAGCCAGCCUCUUCAUUUUAAUGCUGAGGUUGACAUGAGUAAAACAGGUUUAAACAGACUCUCUGCACUAUACCUACAGUAAGAGUCAUGCUAAAGAGUGAUAGUAGGCUUAAAGUAAUGAAUCAGUCCAGUUUUAGUGAUGAGACCAAAUGUGGUAGUUGAAGAUAGUUAUGUUUGAUCCACACAUGGCCAACAUUUCUUUACAAAACUUUAUUUAACUUGCAAUUGGUCUUGAUGUAAAAGAAGUGUCCUUGGGCGACCGAUUUUUCCAGGUCUUCUAGGUAGCCCAUAUGAACUGAGGAAAUACUAAGGGUGUGAUGGAAAUGCAAAAGAUAACAACAAAACAACAGGCAGAUUAUUCCAGGGAGCCUCUCCUUUCUGGUUGAUGACAUUUAUUUUCUCUCUAAUAAUGGUGAUUCCUUUCAUUUUCUAAUACAUGCACACUGACUAGUCAUGUACACACUUUGUCAGAAGGAAGGGGUGUAUCAGCAGGACAUUGUUCAUAUUCUUCAACAAAGUGGAUUUCUGGAAUCAGCAAGAGGCAAAUGAGCGGCAUGGGUAAACGAGGAGAGAAUUAUUUUUCCCUCAAAAGAAGCACCACACUUCCACAUCAGUCAUAUCAUCCAAAUAGACUGGAACGCUGUCUGCACCCCUCAGAUUCAUCUUCAUGCCUCAGAGCAUGCAGAAGAGACCAGUUCUCUCCCCUUUGUUGAUGUGUUCUUUGUUAAAAAUCAACAUAAAAAAAUGACAAAAUGUACAAAAAUGGUUCUUUUGCUUCCCAUGAUAAGAAAAUAUCUUGUGUCUAUAUCAGUUAUUCUGGUUUUUAUUCCUCACCAAUGACAGACAAUUUCCUUUCACCCUAAUAAAAUUUUGUAAUGAAGUGAAAAAUGUCAGCUGUUGAAAGGUCCGCAAACCCAUUUUUCUUUAUAGGCCUCAAUCUCAGAAGGAAUUCAAUACCCCCAGAGAUCUAGGCCUGUUGAUUUAAAAAAAAAAAUCUGUCCAGUGUUCAUCGUAUUUUCAGUCUUUUGUUUUCUUUCUCAAGGAUGAAGAAUGUAUGUUUCUGGUGGAAUUUACCAUCAGUUAUAUUUUAAGAACUUCCCAAAAAUCAGGUUAAAGAGGACAACAUAAUGGUAGCAUAACUACAGUUAUGCAUCCUAAAGUGGAAAAAAGCUGAGUAAAUCAUUUUCUUUUCUUGAGGAAAAAUAAUUUAUGUAGAAGGAGGAAGCAUCCAGUAUUUGUAAAGGAAAUUUUAAUUGUUUUCCUAUUUAAAGGAGAAUUAAAAGCUUCCAUCUUUAAGAAAAUCAAAGUAGCACUGAAGCUAGAUGACUCUCCUAUCAAGAAAAAUGUAUCACAUCUUUGAGACAGGGGUUCUUUCAAAUCUUUACAUCCUCACUAUUGCCAAAUUGUAGACUAAAGAACCUCUGGGAAACAGUAAAUUAUGGAUCUUAUUUAUAUGGGCAUCCUUGUGUUGAUGUCUUGGAAUAAUGUCUACUGCUAUUAUGUUGGGGGUUUUUUAAUUUUUGUUUUCCAUUUGUACCACAACCCUAAUAGCUGCCAUUUUUCCACUCCUGGGGCUUUCUGUAGAUCAGUGGAUGUUAGGUUUAAACUUCUGUUUUCUUUGAUGAAGCUUUCAAUAAAAAAAUAAAGAAAAGC